CAGGAAGGCGGAGAGAGAGACUGCCUGCAGCCACUGCCAGGACAAGAAAGAUGUAAGAGAUAUUGUCUGGAAAAUAUCACCAUUCCUGAUGAGUCAGUUCCUGAUAGUUUCCAUGGAAACAUCAUUUUUUAAAGGGCUUUGCAUGAAUUCUGAGCACCACUAAGGUCCUUUUAGCGAAUACCCAUCCCCUUGAGAUAAUCAGAUCCUGAUUCUACUGCUUACAGCAAGAACUCGUGGACGUCAUGGUCACACUGACUUCCCACAGGCAUCAGAUGUUAACAGAUGUUGAAGAAUCUGCCUCCUGGACUUCGCAUGUCUGUGCCUGCUUCUGCCACUAACUGUCACCCCACUUCUCACCAGGACGAGCAAGAUGACAAGAAACGCUGCCUGUGUGCACUUCGUACGUUCAUCCUCCAGUUCACAGCUGUCUAUGCCAGGUUUGGUUGGCUGAGAUAUCUGAGGAGAGAGUCCAUUGUAAAAAAACAAUCAUAACCCAGUUUUGGGAGCGAACACUACAACCAGCACCUCUCCAGUGGUGUUAAGAGUGUUAUCUGAGAAGAAGCGGUGAGGUCAAUCCCAGGGCUGGUGCUUUCCAGAGGAGUGGGUCACCCAUGCAACCUCUGAUCAGCCACCUUCAGGGGACACAGACAUGACUAUCCUGGGCAAAUCACCUCUCUAGAGAACUGUCACAUGAUCCCCAGAGUGUGAUCCUUGGUGAGUGAAGCAGCUGUGACCAUGCCUAUCUACAUCUGUCAAGAUAAAGUCCGCAGUGCCCUUCACAACGGUACUUCGACUUUCCUAUCUUUCAUGACCCUCCCUCAUGUUAUCCCCAAAUGCAGCCAUGCUUGUCUGGGGGAGUUAGGCUCCCUAUGAAUGCCCUUCUUUCUGAGCAGGAA